AGGAAUCCGACUGCCCAGCUUGAACCAGGUGUCCACUGUGAUCCAGUUUGGUAUGGUCAGAGGGGCAGGAAUAUGUGCUUCAAACACAAUUUAGUGGGAACACUGGGAAGAGGACAAAAAAGAAGGGAGGAAUCAUUGUGAGUUCAGUAGCCAGCCAAAAGGCACCUCUGGAGCCCUGAGCCAUCGUGUGAGAAGACCCAUUACCCUGAAGCCACCAUGCUGGAGAGAUUACACAGAGUCCACGUGGAGCCGGAGAGAGAUGUCCAGGGGGCUCUGGUUGAUCCAGCCCCUAGCUGUUCAAGUUUCCAAACCUAGGCUAGGAGUAGCUCCCAGAUGAUUUCCCUCUCCAGCCUCCAAGCCACCCCAGCCAACAACAAGGAGAGCAGAAAUGAGCUUUCCCCACUGAGCCCAGUUCAGACUGCAGGUCUGUGAGCAAAAUAAAUGUUGUUGUAUCUUAAGCCAUAAGUUUGGGGGGCGGGGGGUAUUAUGUAACCAUAGUAAUCGAAGCAGGAUGCAAAGCAAUUUUCCAAAUAAACUAUAGAGUUCUAACUCAGAACCCAGUUAAAUUGAGUGGCCAAAGAUAAAAAUGCACAUAUACCAAUAUAUCACUAUGGAAUUUCA